rnacentral:lncRNA from 1 species
AUGUUCCCCUCUGAGAACCGGAACACCCUUUCUGCUGUCGUAAGUGUCCUUAGCAACCCCGGCCAGGGCCUCCGUCUCAGAGAGAGCGGGCUCACUGGUCUGCGGGAGCCAAGGGAGGCCCCAGUGGCCCAGGGAAGAGGUCGCCAUGGCGUCUGUGUCCUACCGGGAGCCGCUGUCUAUGACCGUGGGGAAACGAAUGGUUGUCACAGGUCCGGAUUAUAA